AGUGAACGCUGGCGGUAGGCCUAACACAUGCAAGUCGAACGGCAGCACAGUAAGAGCUUGCUCUUACGGGUGGCGAGUGGCGGACGGGUGAGGAAUACAUCGGAAUCUACUUUUUCGUGGGGGAUAACGUAGGGAAACUUACGCUAAUACCGCAUACGACCUACGGGUGAAAGCAGGGGAUCUUCGGACCUUGCGCGAUUGAAUGAGCCGAUGUCGGAUUAGCUAGUUGUCGGGGUAAAGGCCCACCAAGGCGACGAUCCGUAGCUGGUCUGAGAGGAUGAUCAGCCACACUGGAACUGAGACACGGUCCAGACUCCUACGGGAGGCAGCAGUGGGGAAUAUUGGACAAUGGGCGCAAGCCUGAUCCAGCCAUACCGCGUGGGUGAAGAAGGCCUUCGGGUUGUAAAGCCCUUUUGUUGGGAAAGAAAAGCAGCAGGUUAAUACCCCGCUGUUCUGACGGUACCCAAAGAAUAAGCACCGGCUAACUUCGU
rnacentral:rRNA from 1 species